AUAACAUCACAACUUAGUGGUUUAUGUCCUCUACAUUGACACGCGACCUAAUCAUCAUAAUCAAUUCACUACAAUUCACAUGAGACCCUCUUCUUGUAUCACACAGUCCAAGAGAACCUUUUUUCCGUGUCACACGGCCAAAAGAGUCAUCAUUACCAACCCAUCAUCUUCCCCCAUCACACUUAACUCUUCUUCUUUCUCCCACUUUCACAUCACUCAUCAUCAUCAUCACUCCAAAUUUACCAUGCACACCAAUAACCAUACAGAUUGCAACAUAUAAUAAAGAAUAUCAUACAAUGCCAAACCCUACCCACACAAGGUAAUUCUAGUCACUCCCCUUACCUGGUC
rnacentral:lncRNA from 1 species